AGGGUGCAGGGCGGAUGCCUUGGCACUAGGAGCCGAUGAAGGACGUGAUAAGCUGCGAUAAGCUUCGGGGAGUUGCACGUAAACUUUGAUCCGAAGAUUUCCGAAUGAGGAAACUCACUUAGAGUAAUGUCUAAGUAUCAUUAAGUGAAUACAUAGCUUAAUGAGGGGAACUCAGGGAACUGAAACAUCUAAGUACCUGAAGGAAGAGAAAGAAAUUCGAUUCCGUAAGUAGCGGCGAGCGAACGCGGAUUAGCCCAAACCAAUAAAGUUUUCUUUAUUGGGGUUGCGGACAUAUCAUAACGAAGAGGUAUCGUAAUUGAAGAGGUUUGGAAAGACCCACCACAGAAGGUAAUAGUCCUGUAUGUUAAACGAGAAGACUUUAGAUAUGAUCCAGAGUACCACGGGACACGUGAAACCCUGUGGGAAGCAGGAGGGACCACCCUCCAAGGCUAAAUACUACCUAGUGACCGAUAGCGUAUAGUACCGUGAGGGAAAGGUGAAAAGAACCCCGGGAGGGGAGUGAAAUAGAACCUGAAACCCUGCACUUACAAGCUGUGGAAGCACAUUUCUUGUGUGACCGCGUACUUUUUGUAGAACGGGCCAACGAGUUACGUUAAGUAGCAAGGUUAAGCACUUAAGGUGCGGAGCCGUAGCGAAAGCGAGUUUUAACUGAGCGUUCAGUUACUUGACGUAGACCCGAAACCGGGCGACCUACCCAUGAGCAGGAUGAAGCGAAAGUAAAAUUUCGUGGAGGUCCGAACCCACGAGCGUUGAAAAGCUCGGGGAUGACUUGUGGGUAGCGGUGAAAUUCCAAUCGAGCCCGGAGAUAGCUGGUUCUCCCCGAAAUAGCUUUAGGGCUAGCCUCAAGGUGAGAGAUACGGAGGUAGAGCACUGAAUGUCCUAGGGGGUAUUGCACCUACCGAAGACUAUCAAACUCCGAAUGCCGUCAUCUUAUACUUGGGAGUCAGACUGUGGGUGAUAAGAUUCAUAGUCGAAAGGGCAACAGCCCAGAUCGUCAGCUAAGGUCCCUAAAUGUAAGUUAAGUGGUAAAGGAUGUGGGAUUGCACAGACAACCAGGAUGUUGGCUUAGAAGCAGCCACUCAUUCAAAGAGUGCGUAAUAGCUCACUGGUCGAGUGAUCCUGCGCCGAAGAUUUCCGGGGCUAAAACUUACUACCGAAGCUACGGCAUCAGUAAUGAUGGGUAGGGGAGCUUCCCAUACGGGUUGAAGCAUGACCGUAAGGACAUGUGGACAGUAUGGGAGUGAGAAUGUUGGCAUGAGUAGCGAGAUGUGGGUGAGAAUCCCACAGGCCGUAAACCCAAGGUUUCCAGGGGAAGGUUCGUCCGCCCUGGGUUAGUCGGGACCUAAGCUGAGGCCGAAAGGCGUAGGUGAUGGACAACAGGUUGAUAUUCCUGUACUACCGAUAACCGUUUGAGAGAAGGGAUGACACAGUAGGAUAAGCUAAGCACACUGUUGGUUAUGUGUGCCCAAGCAUUGAGGCAGUCAAAGUAGGCAAAUCCGCUUUGAUAAUGCUGGGAUGUGAUGGGGAGCGAAAUUUAGUAGCGAAGUAGCUGAUUUCACACUGUCAAGAAAAGUCUCUAUCGAGGUUAAAGGUACCCGUACCGCAAACCGACACAGGUGGGUGAGGAGAGUAUCCUAAGGCCAGCGAGAGAACUGUUGUUAAGGAACUCGGCAAAAUGACCCCGUAACUUAGGGAUAAGGGGUGCCACCAUCAGGUGGCCGCAGAGAAUAGGCCCAAGCGACUGUUUACCAAAAACAUAGGUUUCUGCUAAGUCGCAAGACGAUGUAUAGGAGCUGACGCCUGCCCGGUGCUGGAAGGUUAAGGGGAUCUGUUAGAGCAAUCGAAGCAGUGAACUUAAGCCCCAGUAAACGGCGGCCGUAACUAUAACGGUCCUAAGGUAGCGAAAUUCCUUGUCGGGUAAGUUCCGACCCGCACGAAAGGCGUAACGAUUUGGGCACUGUCUCAACAACAGACUCGGUGAAAUUGUAAUUCCGGUGAAGAUGCCGGAUACCUGCGACAGGACGGAAAGACCCCAUGGAGCUUUACUGUAGCUUGACAUUGGGUCUUGGUACUACAUGUACAGGAUAGGUGGGAGGCUUUGAAACCAGGACGCCAGUUUUGGCGGAGCCAUCCUUGGGAUACCACCCUUGUAGUACUGGGACUCUAACCAUAGGCCAUGAAUCUGGUCUUGGGACACUGUCAGGUGGGCAGUUUGACUGGGGCGGUCGCCUCCCAAAAGGUAACGGAGGCGCUCAAAGGUUCUCUCAGUACGGUCGGAAAUCGUACGUAGAGUGU
rnacentral:rRNA from 1 species